UUUUCUAUAGUGUAAAGUCAACACAUAACACUUUCAUUGUUAUAAUAGAUUAGUCUUAGAAAUA
rnacentral:tRNA from 1 species